CAAACGGUCCUUUACAGGACCACCAAAAAUUAUUCCUCAAGGAUUGU
rfam:Aedes albopictus isolate Foshan contig10430, whole genome shotgun sequence.